rnacentral:lncRNA from 1 species
CUGGUCCAGAGCCCACCCUUGGAGAACCACUGGGCUAUAGAAUGAUGUCAAGGGCUGGAGAGGGAGGCUACAGAGUGGGUCUAGGUCCAGGUACAGUCUCAGAACCACACUGCAAAACUGGCUUAGUCAGGUAGCUGCUGUAUCUGCUGCUUCCACUGUGAACUCAAAAACCACAUUGCCUGUGCUGCAGGCCGGAAAGCUGCUGAACCAGGAAGCUGUGCUGAUGCUGCUGACUGCCCCUGAGGUUAGAGAUUGACUAGACAUAGUGCCACUGUCAUCCCUGCUGGAGAAGGUCCGAAGCACCUCCACCUCUGUGCUUCCAGAGGGGCACUGUGGUGGCCACUUAAAAUGCUCAGGCUAUACCAUGCACUAGAGCAUCUACCUGGGCAAGGGAUAUGCUGUAUGACACUCUCCUGAUGCUGGGCAUGGCUGUGAGCCAAAGCACCCAGGCAGCCCUGCCAUCAGAAGGGUAAACCACGGACACCUGAUGCCUUCCUGAAGGAAGAGCACUACGCCUGCCAAACCAUCAAGCGUUGAUGCUCCAGCGCCUUCUACCCGUGGUUCUCCAGCCUCAGCAGAAGAGAGAGAAAUUGAUGACCCUGUCGUUGUAGCAUCCCCAUCACCCAGCAAUUAAUUUUAGUUCAAUGCUUCAAACGCUCUUCAGGCGCAGUGUGCGUUCAGCUGUGUCAGCUAAUGGCACUGGAGACACAGAAAUGAAAGAGACAACGUGCCCUCAAGGAUCUCACAGUGUGUGGUGAGGUGGACACACACACACAUAUCUAAGCACAUGACAGUGAGAGGCACGUGGUCACGAGGUUGUGACGUGGAGCUGAGAGCUCAGAGGAAGGGCUUUGGAUCAAGUGUGGUCAGACCACACUCGGCCAUGAAAGUCUUUGAAGGUGGGGAAGGGGUGAAGAUGGUGAGGGGAUUCCACGGCUGGGAGAGGUACACUCCCUACACGUUCUAACCAACUGGCCGUGGGGAGGAAGCUGGAGGUCAGGACACAGCAAAUGGGGGAUCUCAGAAGUCUUAAUGAAGUAACUAUCCCUGAACACUGGGAUCAAUACUCAGCAUCCAGCUGUCAAAUCAACACCAAGCGUUUCACUCGUCGCCCAGCCUAGAGUGCAAUGGCGCUAUUUCGGCUCAUUAUAACCUCCGCCUCCCGGGUUCAAGCAAUUCUUCUGCUUCAGCGUCCCAAGUAGCUGGGAUUACAGCCGCCUCCUGGAGCAGAUUGUUAAGCUGAUGCGAGUCUGGGCUCUGCCUCACCACUUGUCUCAGAGAAUGUCCAGUGCUAGGAGACUCAUAAGUUGGAGAGAAACGGCCUGAUUUAUAGAAACUGAGCGAGACUCCGGACCACCUGAUGCAGAGAAACCUGUGACCUGAAAAAGUCUAUUUGUGUUUCCUCUAGGAAUCUCGGCCAAGAAGACAGGGACAAGCUCCCAACUCUGACUACCCCUUUUACAGGGAAAAAAAAAAAAUCCCGUGCCUUCUUUGCAGCAAGUGACAAAUCCUUGUCAUAUCGAGAUGGCUUUUCCUCCUCCUCUUCAAACAUCUUUUAGCAGCAACAGCAGCUCAAGUAACUGGAAUUAUUUCAGAGUUAAAAUGCAGGCUUUGUAGACCCUCUUAGACAGACAGAUUCAAUUUCAAAGGAAACUUCUUUGGCUGGGUACUCAGUGAGUGUUACACAGGGAUUUGGGGAGUUAAUAUUCACUGUUUCUGUUGUUGGAGAAAAGGAAAGCAGAGUUGCUCUUUCUCAUUACUCUCCCCAACGCACAUCUGUUUCCUCUCGUAUCUUGGAAUUAGGAAGAUGGAGGAGACUUAAGUGGUGACCCACCUAGCCUCCUGAUGCAUGCUGGGCUCACUUUAAAACUCCCAAAACAGAUGGCAGUUGAUCACGGUUUUAAAGAUCCCAGCAUAGACUUUCUGCAGCCUCCCUUGUUAGCCACUAUCAGCGCUUAACAUUCUGUCAUCUGAAUAACUCCUUAAAAAUGAUAGCAAUGGUAGUAGAAAUUUAAAAGGAACCUCCCAAAAAACAUGCAAAAGCUUACCACCCCAGUAAAUCACCCGCAACAAUGUCGCAACAGUUUAAAUUUACUGCAGAGAGAGCUGAAGUUUAGGAGACACAGCUUUAUAAUAUUUUUGAGAGAUAGUUGAGUGCAAAUGAGUCCUGUUCCUCUUGCAUCAGGGCCUGCUCCACUGAGUCAUCCUGCCUUCAGAAGCUUCCAGCUAAGUGGCAGGCCCCGGCCAUAGGCUCCCUGUGUCCCCAGCCUCCAGAGAACACACAAUGUUCUCAUCGCCCUUAGCUCCAUUCCAGAAGGGGCCUGCAGUUCUGCAGCUUAUCAGGGGUCUACUGGGAAGUGAGAUGUCACUGUCCCUUUCUGGCCCUGCAUUGUCUGUGAGUGGCUCUCCUGGAUUAAGAGUUGGCAAAGUAUGGCCAGUGGCCAGGACUGGCCUGCUGCCUGUUUUUGUUUAACCCGUGAGCUAAGAAUAGUUUUUACCUAUUUUAAGUAGUUGAAAAAAAAAUCAAGAGAAGAAUACUAUUUCGUGAUAUGUGAAAAAUCACAUGAAAUUCAAAUGUAAGUGUCCAUAAAUAAAGUCUUACUGGAAGACAGCCUUGCUCAUUUAUUUCUGUCUCAUUCGCUACUGUCUGCGGCUGCCUUCACGCUACAAUGGCAGUACUGAGUAGUUGUGACGGGCACUGUAUGACAGCAAAUCCUAAAGUAUUUGCCAUCUGGCCCUUCACAGAAAAAGUUUGCUGACCCUGGCUUUCGAGCCUCUCAUCACUUUGGGAUUCAUCUCUUUACUUUCCCCAGAGUGAGGGAGGCAGUAACGUUCCUCGUGAGUGCUUAGUCCUUGCUCCCAAGGCAAUAAACCCCCCAAAACCCCUCUCUUUCUGCAGUCUUCUUGUUGGCUUGAUAGUGGUAGGGCUGGUUCAGCCAAGGUCACAGUUGGAGGGCAGGAAGGGGGUACAGCGAAGGACGACGGGGGUGUCUUCUCUAGUCCUGUUUGCAGCAAUCUUUAGAAUGCAAAAUAAUUAAGAAGAAACUGCUGUUUUUUGGCUGUGGGAUGCAAUUCGAAUUCUGGAAAAUUAGAAUCAACAGAACGUGGGAUGUGGGAGUCCAGGACAACUCCCCUGUUUUGGCUGUGUUUGGUGCCAUGUGUGGAGGUGGGAGAGAUGGGAGAAAGAAGAGGUUUGGGCAGGGGGAGGGAAGAAUCAAGAUUCUGCUUUGAAUGGACGAAGGUUGUGGUUUGUUGAGAGGACAACUAGAUAACUGGCCACUUGAAGAUGGGAUGGAAGUCUGAAUCUGCAAGGAGUCACAGAUGAAUGGUAUGGAAAGCUGUGGUAGUGGAUGAGAUCAUACGAACGGUGGGUGCAGAUGGAAACGAGAAGCCAUCUAAGGACUCGUAAUGGGCUCCUCAACACUUGGAAGUUGGGUAGAGGAAGAAGACCGCAUGAGGGCAGGAUCCUGAAUGUUCCACUCACUGCUAUAUCCCUAGCACUGGUUACAGUGCUUGGCACACACUGCAUGCUCAAUAAAUUAUUUGUUGCCCAUAUAAGUGAACGUGAAUUCCAAUGGACUAGCAUCUUCCACUCUCAACAUAAACAAAAACAACAGCAACAUUGCAAUUCCCUAUCUUCUCUUCCCUGAUCUCUUUCUCAUUCUGUCUCUCCUUCCCUUUUCCUCUGCCUUCCUGUUGCCUUCUCUGAUAUGAGUUAAAUUUAUCAGGGGUGUCCAGGUACCCGGCUAUUCUUGAGCAUUCCUUAUCUGGCUACAACUCUGGGUGACACUGGUUACUAGUUUAGUGAACGAGCCAACAUAUAUUCUUCUUUUUGUCUACAUAGUUUUUUUUAAUGUUAAACUUGUUCCUAUUGCACCUCACUCUUUAUGAACUGUCAGUUAAUGCUAUUUUGGCUCUAUUCCU